GAGCUUUGUUCAAGAGUUCAGCUUUAGGGUAAUUUUAUUUUUCGAGCUCAGAAUGAGCCGAUAACGGUCUUUAUCAGUCUUUGUGUUUUGUUUAUUUUUAUAAAAUAUUUCAAAAUUCUGUGUUAGUGUGAAAUAAAUGUAAAAAUGCAAUUUCAUCAUCAGUGUAAGAGGGGAAUGAUUCUUUUCAAUAUGAAAAGUUAUUUUUUAAGUCAUUCACUUAUAUUGUCAAAAGUUUUGUAAAUUAUAAAAAGUGCAAGUAAUUAUUUAUUAAAAAGCAAUUUCUUACGCCACUAAAAGAAUCAUUUCAAUUUUAGUUUGGAGAAUGAUAGUUUUCACUAUUUAUGAAUGUAGAAGUCUGUAUAUUACAGAUUUAUAAAGGAAAAUAAAUUAAUUAUACAUAUAAAUAAUGUUUUUUUUUUACAGCAGGCGCGAAUACAAAGCUUUGUUUAGAGCGGGAGGUGCAAUUUUUUGUUCUAAAUAAAAAAUUGAUAAAAGCUUAGUUUAUUAUUCAUACAAUUUUAGAUUUAGGGAAAUUACUAGUAAGUAGGAUUCGCUCAAUUAAUAAGCGGAUAUAAAGAGGCGCGUCUGCAAUUCGUAUAAAUUCAAAGCAAAAAUUUAGCUUCUAGUCCCUUUGAAUUCAUCGACCGGGCUAUAAGUGUUAAACGACUUUUUCGCUGUUGCCAAAUCUAAAUGCCGAAAAAGGAUUCUUUAUUACUUGUUAUCUCCGAUUUUAACACGACCGAUGAUUUCUUGAUGAAGGGGAAAAUAUUUACAUUUUUGCUCGAUCGAAAAUUGUACUUUGUAAGCUACAGUAAGAAAAAAUAACACACAGUCACGAAGUGCUUGUUGCUUUGCAUCAUGUCUUAUCGGAAGAUUAAUUCUUUAUUUCUUUUCAGAGCAUCUCAAUAAGAAAACAUCUAUCAAAUUUAAUUUUUAGUUACUUUGAUUUUCUACUUUCUAGUGCGUUUUAAUAAAAACAUGUUUUGCUAAAAAAAUCCUUUAAAUUUAUUAUUUUAACUAAAAAGUAUAAAUAGACGACAUGUAUUCAACGGAAUAUAUAAUCUGAAUAAAGGCAGGGCAUGAUAGUGGGAUAAGAUUAGCCGAUACGCGUCACACCGUUAGCAGUUUGGCCAGUGUAUUAUGACCAAUUUUUCUGAUGAUGAAAAUGGCCAGAUAAAUGCGAAAAUGAAAUUUUUUGAUUUAAAAAACGAAUAAGUGAACUAGAAAAUUCGCUGAAGAGAAUGGAAAAUUUUUUCUUCGAUAAAAAUUAAAGGAUCCCACCAAAAGACACCAGUGACCGUAGCAGACAUAUCAAAUACGAUAGUAAUCUACAAUUCAAGGGCACAUACGUGUUGCCUUCUGAAGAAAGUAUAUCCGUAUUCAAGCGUUUCAAGUCUUGGAGCUUCUGAAACAGCUAACCAUAACAGAUAACGAGAAUAUUUGUAUUAUUAGUAUUGAUGUUCAACGCUGACUGUUUCAUGGCUUCUCUCUGUGAUGUUACUGAUGCUUCUAUAGCAUAGGCUUUCGAUUCAUUCAAGGAAACGGUCAGCCCUGAUCCAUAAAUGUUGGUCCACCUUAAGCAAACUGACUGUUAAAUUUUUUUAAUCGAUAACUUUCCAGCAGGUUACUUAUCUGAAUUAUGGAAGAAAUCUUACGUUCUUCCCAUUCAUAAGAAAGGUGAUAAGUAAAAUGCCAAAUAUUGUACAUCAAUAUCGGCUCUGUGUACGUUUGACAAGAUGUAUGACAGGCUUGUGGCUGACCAUAUAACUGACCAUUUUUUUACACUAAUAAUCCCUCAACAACACGGAUUUGUCAAUGGCUGCUCAAGUUACUGCAGCCUUGGAUCAAAAUAUCCACACGGUCGUUUGACUAUCCACCAGUUGUUAACAUCCUUAAAAGAAUAACACGUAACUUGUUGCUGAUGACUAGAACCCCUUUUAUCGGAAUAACGUAUGGGAUACACAUGUUGAUGGGAAUGAAGCCAGCAAGUGCGACCAUGAGAAUGCCUAGUGAAAAAAAUUUCUGAUAUUACUAAUAUGUAUGUAUAGUCUAAUCCGGUCUUGUAGUGCUGAUUCAAACAUCACUAAGAAUAUGAAUGAAAAUGUAGUGCGAUCCGGGGUGAAGUCUAAAUUUGCCGCCCUUUCUAUUUUCACAAUUAUAUAAUAUCUAUUAUUUACUUUUUCCAGUUUUUUUGUUUAAACAGAAAAAUUAAUAUUAUGAAUUUUUCUUCAGGUCGUGUUGUUAUUACUGUUUACACUUCAUCUCCAAAUUACCUAGCAGUGAUAAUGUUACUUCCAAAUUGCAAAAUACGUUAAAAACAACGAUUUUUAUUUUUCGAAUUUAUUACAAGAACAUCCCUAUGAUUAGGAAGUUAAUAAAUUCUAGCAGUUGUUCUAUCUAGGACCGCCGCGUAGAAGGCGAGUCGCUUGUGUGCAAAAAAAAAGUUUUGCGCUCUUUUCCGUACAAUACAAGACUUAUCGUAUAAAUUACAACAAAAACAUUAAUUUCAAUUCAAAAACAGUUAAUAUACUUAAGAACAAACGUAAAAUUAUGCAUGUGUAUUUGCGAUGGUCUCACAUAACUUACUUCAUUUACAAACGUAUUAUUAUGACUAGAUCACCAUAUUUUUAUUGUCGAAUUCUCCCCAUACGUUUACACUCUUUUAGUUUCAGUAACUUAGGAUUGUACAUCAUUUUGCUGAUGACAUUUGUGCGAUUUGAAAUGUAAAUAGAAUAUAAAAAGCGUUUCAUUAAUAAUAUAAAAGGCGUCCACUACACGAUUCCUUUUUCUGUUUUUUUACGAUUGCAACUUUUAUAAUAGUAGGUACUAUACAACAUACACUUUCGUGUUAAGAGAGCUUGGGUGGCUUUCGCCGCUAUAAUAAAGUCAACCGUUAGUGUGUUCGACCAUUCCACCUUCUGUGGUUUUGGCUAUGAAAAAAUGCUGUUUUUACAAUUAGAUACAAGACGGUUCCUUUUACAGAUUUUUAUUAGCCGGUAAUGUCUUGCUACAUUAAAAACUAGUACAAAUACUAAACAAUUGGGACAUCUAACAUUGCAGUGCAGCGGACGUAAUUCUAUCUAAUACCGAAGAACAGAUUUUUACAGCCCUAGGAAAAAAGUUAUGAGGAAGAAAAUUUUUCGUAGGUAAUUAAAUUUCUUAUAAGGUGCAAUUGUUUGCAAAUCACAAAAUUCAUUUUUUUCCUUGGCAAAAAUGUAAACAGUUACAAUAAAGAAUAAAAAUAUAUAUUAAGUUGCGGAUUUCUUUUAUACACUUCCAUUACUCCUAAGACCUUCAUACUUGGCUAAAAGAACUCUUUAUUAUGAAUUUACAGUUUUUGCCUAAUAAUAAUAAGAAUUUACGCAGCAGAGGAGCGUCUAUAUUUUUGCCAAAUUGAAACCCGUUGAUUUGGAGAACCUAGAGAAUUGUUUAAAGUUCUGGAUAUUUUUUCUCGAAAAGUCGUUUCUUUCAUAAAAAAAUUAUUUUGAUAGAAUUUGAACCGGAACUAUAACAGCGCAAAGUUGAAAUCAAUUUACAAUAAAAAUAUAAGGAUAUCAGGACUGUUUUUUGACCAAGGACUUCAUUAGUCUUAGCACAUACACUACAUGAAUUAACAAAUAAGUUCGGAGAGGGAGCUGACAGCGCGGAGACACAGUAAAAUCCAGCGUUUAGAACUUUCCAUUUUCUCGGCUUCUGCUGAACCAAUUUUAAUUUUUUUAAACCAAUAUCUCGAAAAUUUUUAUGGUUAAUUCAAAAGCUCGUUAUUGUUAGUUUUGAAACUAUUAAUUUACUUUAAUGAAAAUGAAAAAAUCUGACAAUUUCGAUUACCAACAAAUUGUCUUUUAAUGACCUGAUUAAGAUUUGAACGAGCAAGAAUAACUAAAUGAAGAUCUUGUUGAAGGGGAGGAAGUUUUCCAAGCGGCAAAACACAAAUGACUAACAACAAUAACGGGCUUUUGGAAAUAUGAAAAAUCAAACAUUAAUUUUCUGGACAUCGCUUUAAAAAAAAUUAAAAUCAGCUCAGUAGGAGCCGAGAAAAUGAAAAUUUUUUCAAGGGUCGUAGUUCUGAACCCUAGAUUGUAUUGUCUAUCCGCGCUAUCAGCUCCUUCUCCAAGCUUUUCAAGGCUGUCGAAUCAAUUUCGAGAGCUGAUUUGGAUUAUUGUAUUUAACAAGUUAACGAGGUUGUACAUGAUCGCAAGUAUUAUCCCUUUUAUACUUAUAUUUUUAUUGUAAAUUGAGUUCAACUUUGCGCUGUUUAACUACGGGCCACAGCUGUGAGUACAACAAUUUUAAAAAUAAUAAACGCAACUAAUUUAUAAUAUAAUAGAAUAUUUAAUUUGAACGAAACAGAUUAUUUGUAAAAUCAUAUAAUUAAUGUUUAAAUAAUAAAUUAUGCAAAUCGUUUAGUUAAAGGGGUGGAGUUGGGACUUCAUGAUCAAUUAUUUAUUAAUCUUUUCCACCCUUUAUUUUUAUUUAUUAAAAGUUAAAAUGGGAGUUAUUCGCUACCCCCUGUACAGGUCAGUCAAUUUAUAUCAUGCCUAGAGGGAUAUGAAACAGAAAAACUUUAGCUGAAACGUUAAAUGGCGUGUGAGCUGUAAAUUAUGAAAGAUUUUCAAAAUUGGAAUUAAAUAAAUGUGCAAUUAAGCCACACUAUAACGAUACGUUUAAUCGGACAGUUGUUUGUAAUAAAAAUACUUAUAUCUUUUAAAGUGGGUGCAAUAGCAGGUUCUUUUGGAUUAGGCAAUAGAAAUGAUAGGGAAGACAGGCUUGUAGAAUUUUGCGAUAAAUAUAACUUAACCGUCGCGAAUACUUUAUUGAACCACCACGUUCGGAGGAGCUAUACGUGGAAGGUGCCAGGUGAUUUAGGGAGAUAUCAGUUAGAUUACAUACUUGUUAGGCAAAGAUUUAAAAAUCAAGUGAAUGACUGUAGAGUUAUCCAAGAGCAGAUACAGAUAACGAUCAUAACUUAGUAGUAGUUAUGAAGACCAAUCUUAAAUUGAAAAUUCUGAAAAAGAAGGAAGGUGGAAAAGAAGGUCUUGACUUAAACCUAAAAUGUAACGAAACGCGUGAUAGACUAGGUAAAUGGACAGACGAAAUACUAAAGGCGGCGGGAGAAA